AAAUUGAAGAGUUUGAUCAUGGCUCAGAUUGAACGCUGGCGGCAGGCCUAACACAUGCAAGUCGAACGGUAGCACAGAGAGCUUGCUCUCGGGUGACGAGUGGCGGACGGGUGAGUAAUGUCUGGGAAACUGCCUGAUGGAGGGGGAUAACUACUGGAAACGGUGGCUAAUACCGCAUAACGUCGCAAGACCAAAGAGGGGGACCUUCGGGCCUCUUG
rnacentral:rRNA from 2 species